AAAAAGACCCCCCCCCCAAAAAAGCAAAGAAUAUGUUGAAAGAGUUUAGAUGUCUGAAAGUAGUGAACACUCCUUGGUUAUUAUCAUUAGCCCCAGCUUACAGGUGGGCCAACUGAAGGGAGAAGUAAGGGAAUUGCUACAGAUCAUGGCUGGUAAAUACCAGGAGCAGAUGACACCUUCCACCCCCAUCUGCCUCAUUCUACAGCCUAACAUUUUCCUCCUAGGUAUUCUGAGGCCAUCUAGAAGCUGAGGGUUCCGAAGCACCAAGUUUUUGCAGUAUUAGGAUUUUAGUGUCCCCCCCCUACUCCUGCUCCUGUCUGUCUCCCUCUCUCUCUAUCUCCUCUACUAGCACUUAGUGAAACUUUAAGCUGAAUAAAUUGUUUUUGGUCUCGCUAAAAGCAAUUUUUCCUUAUUGAAAAAGUACUGUUUUGAUGAUCUUUUACCACACCUAGUAGGUGUGUACUGUAAGAAACAAGAUGAACCUUGAAAAUAAUAUAAUUUUCUUUAAAGCCUAAAGAUAGGACUCUGUAAACCAUAAUACUCUUCAACUUUGGUCAACAUCCUGAUUUAUAAACUUGAAUCUAUGGCAUGCCAAUAAGUUAAUGAAUAUUCAUGGUUACUAAAUGAAUGAAUAUUGAGCACUUACUAUGUGCUACUAUGUAGUCAAGUAUAACAGUACUUCUCAAACCUUAAUGUGCACAUGAAUCAUAUGGAUCUUAUUAAAAUGUCAAGUCUGGUUCACUCUGUCUAGGAUGGAACUUGAGAAUACAUUGCUAACAAGCUCCCAGAUGAUACCAUUGCUGCUGGUCCAUGGUCCAUAAAGCAUUUGGCACAACAUUGUAAAUCAACUAUACUUUGUAAAAAAAUAAAAAGUUCUAGAAGCACUGUGGUGUUUCAUCCCUUUUAAAAUUCUCUAACAAUUUUUGAUAUUUCUUGACUAUAUUUGGAUUAUUUUACUUAUUAUAAUCUCCAAAAAAAUCAGAAUUCUUUGAGAGCACAGACCUUUCUACCUUGGUCAUCCCUGUUUUCUCAGCCCCUAGAUUAGUGCCUGACACGUAUGAGUGUUCAGAGGGAUCAUCUGCAGUGGAAAGCCCAUCUCCUUGCACACCAGUACUCAGUAGUAUUUGUGAUUCAAUAAAUGGCUAAAUGAAUAUAGGUAAUGGUAACAUACAUCAAUACGUAGCAUUUAGAUCUUCUCUGUAUCAUCCUUAUAGCAACAUUUGGAUGAAUAUAUUGUCAGCCUCAAGCUGUAAGUACACAGUAGUACAUGUCCAAUUAGUAUUAUGAACAACUACAGUAAAACUUCUUGAGAUUAGGCAACUAUUGAAAGUUUCAAGGAAGAAAUAGAACUUGCACUGGUUUUGAAAGAAGACAAACACUCUUAUAAAUAUGCAAAGAGAAGGGGAGGAAGGUAUUCCAUGUGGAUGGAAUGUGGUAGGAUAAUGGAGAUUUAACGUUAAGUUUUAUUCCUCUUGAAGCCUCCCCCCAGUUUCCAUGCAAUUAUCCAAGUCCCUAGUUUUCCUGUCAUAGAGAAUGUUGCAGUGCAAAAAGCAGAAGUUGCUGAAAGUCUGCUCUGCUUUUAUAAAAUCUGAAACUUGCUGAAGAAAUUAUGCUGUGUAUCCUGGGUUGGGUAGAAGAGUUCUUUUGAAGACAACUGAAGGAAAAAGAAUUUUCCCCAAGAGAGAAAAAAAUUCAAUCUUAAGCUGAGAAGAUGAUGCUAUAGGUAUUAUUCACUUUUUAUGCCAUGGUCCCCUUUGGUAGUUCGGUGAAAAUUACAAACAGAGCCUAUUAUAUUGAAAUUCAUUUAACAAAACAUUUUUUAAGAUUGAUACAUAGUAACAUAUUUAUUAAUGCAUAAAACAAUAAAGUUUGGAAACUUUCACUUAGAGCUUCAUGAAAAUAAAGAUAUAAUCAUUUUCCUAUCCCACACUAUGGAACCCUUGGGCAUGGACUCCGAGCUCAGAGGAAGGGCUGUGCAUCACUCCCACGCAGUGUGUGUCAGUCAGAAUGGUCUAGGUGAGUGGUUUUCAGUUUCUUAUCCCCAAACCAGUAGCAUCACCUGGAAAUUUGUUAGGACUAUCCAUCAGUACCCUGGUCCUACUGAAUCAAAACUCUGGAACAGAGUCAAGCAGUUUGUGGUUUUACAAGCCGUCUAGGUGAUUUUAAUGCACGCUCAAGUUUGAGAAGCACUAGGCUAAAUUUUACUUUAGUACAACUAGCCCCAAAUCUCAGUGAUAGAAAACAACAUGCUUUUUUUUUUUUUUUCCACUCAAGCUUAAUUUCCAUCAUGGUUAGUAUGGGCCCAUUCUACUCUGUAUCUCCUCAGUUGGGAUCGUGGUUGACAGAAGAGCCACCAACAUUACUAGUACUGUGCCAGAGGAGAAAGAAAAAUGGAGAGUGUCACACUGGUGAUUAAUAGACUAAAAGGUGACACAUACCAUUUCCACUGACAAAUAAUUGGCCAGAACUAAUUAUGAGGGUAUACCCAGUGGACCAGGGAACUUGUGAUGAUAACACAUUAUCAAGAGACAGUGAGAUCUCAGAGAAGAUGACCCACUAAUACCCCUGGGAAGACCAGCCACCCCAGUUGUUCCCAUGUUUUCAGUAGGUACAGAAGAAACAGAAUCACAGGUCUCAAGAAAACCAUGCAGCCUGGGACAGUAGGUAGACCAGUAUGAACCAGUGUAUCCCACACAGAGUGAGAAAGUGGACCAGUGCAGACCAGUGACUGGGGUGGGUCAAGGGAAGGGCCCUGUCAUUUUAUCAUGGGACUUUUGUACUACUCUGGGCAAUGGAGGGUACAAAUACAAAAGUGAUUGAGAUUGAACUUCCUUCCAUGGGAUGCUCAGCAUUAGUUUUAAGUGGAUUUAAAGAAAAGUGAUAUUUCUGACAUACCUGAGAUUGUAGAAUAGGCUUCAUAUCCACCAGAGCUGUUGUCUGUGUAAACUGCACUAGUUCAGCACUUAAUGCAGAGCAUUUUAAAGGGUGAUUUCUUAAAUGCUUUAGAUGAUGAUAAAAUUAACUCUUUGGGUACUUUAGCACUGACUAAAUUAAUGUAUUGACUUAGAAAAACUCAGACCUAUAAUCUUUCUAAAUUCAUAUUGGAGCUCAGUUUGGAGCAAUGAAUCACUGGUCCUUAAUCAUUUCUUUGUGAUUGUGACAGGUGAUUCUUUUUCAUCUGUUAGAAAAUCUUACACACAUUCAGCUGGCAUUUUUCUACCAUGUUCUCUGCUUGCCUUGCUUUUAUCUCAAAAUAAAUGGAGGGUAUUAGCCAUGUAAUCAUGAGAAAGUAGUUACAGUAAAAGUUGAACUGAUACAGUCUUGUUUGAAAAAAAAAAGCCUCACUCAUCUGGUGAAGAUUGCCUUACUUGACACUCUUGGAAACAUCUACUGUAAUCUUAGCCACUGUGCCACCAUAAAUGUGCAUUUAAUAAAGAUCAAAAUCUGCAAUUAAAAUAGUACAUUUCGGAGUUCCUGUUGUGGCUCAGUGGUUAACGAAUCCGACUAGGAACCAUGAUGUUGCAGGUUCGAUCCCUGGCCUUGCUCAGUGGAUUAAGGAUCUGGUGUUGCCGUGAGCUCUGGUGUAGGUCACAGACGCGGCUCAAAUCCCACGUUGCUGUGGCUGUGGUGUAGAUUUGAUCCCUUGCCUGGGAACCUCCAUAUGCCGUGGGUGUGGCCCUCAA
ensembl:lncRNA